UUCCGACACCGGGAAUCCCCGGGCCUGCUGGGUGAGAGCCAGCUAUCCUAACCCUAGACCAUGCCGGA
rnacentral:tRNA from 1 species